rnacentral:lncRNA from 1 species
GAAACGAAACCCUAGUGAUGCCAUCGGCCAUUCACUCGCAGUCACGCAUCGCGUUGCUCGCCUCUCAUCAACGCGCCGCCUGCCCGCCGCCACCCAUCCACCACUUCCCCACGCUAGCGCCAAGACGGAUUGAGCGCAGAGCCGCAACAUCCCUCCCGGCAGUCCGGCGCUCUAGCAGUUCGCGGAAUCGAGGGGCAAUCCAAGAGGACCCAGCUGUCCUUUUUGGCACAUGAGAGCUUCGGGACAAGCACAAGACUCUGGCUAGCCGUGGUUGACCUCCAUGGUUCCAUGAUUCCAUUGGCAUUGGAUACCCCUUCUGCUACCUCCAUGAAUUGAUAUUGUGAAUUCGUGAGAAAUCAGAAUCUAAGUUCAUUUAAAAAUUGCCUUGACACUUCUUGCUUCUUGCGGUCAAGCAAGCCUUUGUGAUUUG